rnacentral:rRNA from 1 species
UACGAAGGGGGCUAGCGUUGUUCGGAAUUACUGGGCGUAAAGGGCGCGUAGGCGGUUUAACAAGUCAGGUGUGAAAGCCCCGAGCUCAACUCGGGAACUGCGCUUGAUACUGUUAUUCUUGAAUUCGGGAGAGGUGAGUGGAAUUCCCAGUGUAGAGGUGAAAUUCGUAGAUAUUGGGAGGAACACCAGUGGCGAAGGCGGCUCACUGGACCGACAUUGACGCUGAGGCGCGAAAGCGUGGGGAUCAAACAGG